CUCGUGUUCUCCGUCGGGAGGACGAUUGGUUUUGUGAAAGGUAUCAUCUCCUCCGUGCAAUCGGCGUAUCUCUGUUUUUCCCUUCUCUCGUCAUCUCCUGUGAGGAGAGGGUACUGGGGUAACAAAAUUGGCAAGCCGCAUACGGUUCCUUGUAAGGUUACGGGGAAGUGUGGUUCCGUUACGGUGAGGAUGGUUCCUGCUCCCAGAGGUGCUGGUAUCGUGGCGGCUAGGGUUCCUAAGAUGGUGCUUCAGUUCAAUGGGAUUGAUGAUGUUUUCACUUCUUCCAGGGGAUCUACUAAGACUCUUGGAAACUUCGUCAAGUACUCAUGGAUAAUCAGAGAGAGAUAGAUAUUUGUGUUGAGAUGUGACAAAGCCUUUAGAGGUUCUUUGUUUAUCAUUAUGCUCUGCUCCAUCUCUUAAGCUAAAACAAAAUGGAUGGGUUGGAAACUUUGCGCUUGGAGCAAGCUAUAUCAGUUUGCCAUGGUGGGCUGGGCAAGCAUUGUUUGGCACUGAUGCUGCAAAAUGGAUAUGCGUUAGUGCUAUAGACGUUACUCAGCUCUCUGUUGCCGGUAUGUAGUAUGACUUCUAUUUCUUGUGCUUGAUCUUAUGAAUUAGAUGAUCAUUAGUGAAUGUCUAUUCUGGUUGCAGUGUAUCUUGUGAUCAAAAUUUAUACAUAAAGUAAUCAAAAACAAUUUCUACUUUUUAAUCACAUAUAUGACAUCUUCUUCUCAAAUCUAUUUUUACUAUGUUUUAUUUUUUUAAAAAAAUUAAUUUUAAUACAACAAUGUUUAAAUUUUUUUUUUAAGAACCCUUCAUUAAGAAAUUCCCAAUGGAGCACAAAAUCUAUAAGUUCUUAAUUAAAUUUUUUAACUAAUUUUUAUCACUAAGAAACCCAAAUGGGGUUAUAGGGAUAAUGAUGCUCUUAGAGUUACCUGUGAAUGCAACAUUAUUUUGAUUUUCCAUUAAAUAUUAGAUUCAUUUAUAAUUCCCUUUUACUGAAACACUCUCAUUUAAUUUGUAAUUAUUUUUUUGGUCAACUACUAGUAAAAGCUAAAUUCAAGUUUUCCAUUGAUUUGUAUGGUCCCAGUCGAGUAUAAAACGGACAUUUGGAGAAGACUAGUUUUUUUUUUACAACGGAGAAGACUAGUUGUGGUAGAGUUCACGGCUACUUGUCGCCUUGAAGCUUGUCGCUGAGAUAACAAUUAGACCAUCUUCGACCCAUUUCUAUAAUAGAAAUCUCUAAAAUAGAGGAAAAAAUAAAGAUAAUAUUUUUGCUCUAUUGUAUUUCUCUAUAAUAAAGGAAUGCUAUAUUUGUCUCCAUAGAUAGAUGAAUGCUAUUUUUUUUUUAUAUUUAGGGGAAAAAAUAGCAUUCUUCUAUUUAUAGAGGUAAAUAUAGCAUUCCUCUAUUAUAGAUGAAUACAUUGGAGCAAAAUACAUUUCUAUUUUUUUCUUUAUUUUAGAGAUUUCUAUUAUAGGGAUGGGUUAGAGAUGCUGUUGAUAAUGCUAUCAUUAUCACAGCUUCAGUUUCUCCUAGGGUUACAAACAAGACGGGACAGGUUUAUUGAUUAAUUUUAAAGUUAAAAUAACGUUCGACGCUUUCAACAACCCACAGUAAUUAGAAAAAUAAAAAACACCCACAGUAUGCAUGUUACUUUCCAAUUUAUUCUUUUUGUUAAUAAUCUGUAUUUGACAUGUUGACAUGUUGGAUAUCUUCAAUCAAUGUGGUCAUGCUUUUUUCCUUGGUUUCAAAUCUUUCUGCUAAAUCAGUACUGGUGGUGGGCUGAUUACUUUUAUACAAUUGAUUUUAUUUGGAGUAUUGGUGGGCUGAUGAUUUUGAGUGGUUGCUUAAAAUAGAAUAAUUAGAGCAUGCGCAACGGGAAUUCUUAAGUUGAAAUUUUUAGAAAAAAAUAAUUAAAUAAUCAGUGGAUCCCACCAAAAGCUAAGGAUUCAACCCUUAAAAUUCCUAAAUAAAGAUUUUUUUUUAGUGAAUCCUUGCACU